CGUACACUCCUACGGGAGGCAGCAGUGGGGAAUAUUGCACAAUGGGCGCAAGCCUGAUGCAGCCAUGCCGCGUGUAUGAAGAAGGCCUUCGGGUUGUAAAGUACUUUCAGCGGGGAGGAAGGCAAUACGGUUAAUAACCGUGUUGAUUGACGUUACCCGCAGAAGAAGCACCGGCUAACUCCGUGCCAGCAGCCGCGGUAAUACGGAGGGUGCAAGCGUUAAUCGGAAUUACUGGGCGUAAAGCGCACGCAGGCGGUCUGUCAAGUCGGAUGUGAAAUCCCCGGGCUCAACCUGGGAACUGCAUUCGAAACUGGCAGGCUUGAGUCUUGUAGAGGGGGGUAGAAUUCCAGGUGUAGCGGUGAAAUGCGUAGAGAUCUGGAGGAAUACCGGUGGCGAAGGCGGCCCCCUGGACAAAGACUGACGCUCAGGUGCGAAAGCGUGGGGAGCAAACAGGAUUAGAAACCCCAGUAGUCCCAUGA
rnacentral:rRNA from 1 species